rnacentral:lncRNA from 1 species
CAUGUCAAUAUGGACCAAGCUCUCUGAGGAAUGCUUCCAGCACCUUGUUGAAUCUAUGCCACGAAGAAUUGAGGCAGUUCUGAAGGCAAAAGGGGGUCCAACCCGUUACUAGCAUGGUGUACCUAAUAAAGUGGCCGGUGAGUGUAUAGUUUCAGUUUCAGUGCUCUAUUCAAGAAUAAAGCAGGUUUAGAUGGUUCUCUUAUGAGAUUUUUUGAGGAAUACGUAACGUGUGUGUGUAUACUUUACAUUUUAUUUUUAUUUUUUUUUGCUAUGUACAGUGGCUGAGUGUAUUUUGUAACAUGGAAUUUUCUAAUGUAGGUUGAGAAUGCAGUCAGACAGGGGUGUCAUGCACUGGUGUAUAAAGGAGGUAGAAUGGACACACAAGGAUGAGUUGAGAGUUUUUUAAAAAGGAAGGCAAGUCAAAUGCGAAUAACACAAGUUAGACCACAUUUUGCAGGUCCUUUGCAUCAGCUCUAGAUUCCACACCCAUGCCAGCCUAAGAAAAGUCCCCCCCAACUUUUUAAGGAUUACAGGCAAUUUUAAACAUUUGCCUGAUCCACCAUGAUUGCCUUUAAACUGUAGACAGAUAGUCUCCUUCAGGGAUGUUACAGGUACAAUGUGGAGAACAAUAAAUCCCUAUACCGAUUACAGAGCGCCAUGAACACUAAAACAGAGGUCCAUAGUCUCAAAGAUAUAAAGGAGGAUCUGAAAUGUGAGGUCUUUACAGAGAAUAAACCAUCAAAACACUUUUUUCAUUAAAACAUCAAUUCUAAUGUAUUCAUUUAAUUUAAAGCAAUUUUGUUAUGGAAACAAUUAGGGUUGGGCGAUAUGGGAAAAAGUUUAUCACAAUAUAUUUUUUCAUAUCAGUUGAUAUUGAUAUAUAUCACGAUAUAAAAAAUGAAAUUUAACAGUGCUUAUUGGUAGCAUGUCUUUUGCAGUACUAUAAGCUACUGCAUCUGUGAGGCCUUUGUGUCUCUUCUGUGGCGUAUCUUGUGGACCCAGAAGCAGACACAGAGACAGAUAGCAAAUUAAAGAUGUAUUUAAUGUCCAAAUCAGGGAAAAAGGCACGAGAGAAAGUCCGGUUUGCUGGCUGGCUGUUGUGUGGGCUGGAGACACUGUGGACGAACAGAUGAGAAUAAGGUUAGAAGUAAUACAAGGAAUCACAGGGAGCAAAAGUCACACGCACUUAACAAGGGGAAAGGCCAGGAGAAGCGUCUGUACCACUCAGGCGUGAAGACAAUACUCAGGCGCUGAGACUGAGGGCUGCUGGCUUCUUCAAGGACCUUGAUUGCAGAGCAGGUGUGGAGUCUCACUCAGCCUCAGCGACCGGGGGAAGGGAAAGUGCACUGAAACAACAGUCAAGCCAGACCAGGAACACAAGGAAAACAGGAAGUUAAACUAAAAUAAAACAGGAAGAAGAGGCGUCUCACCACAUUUUCGAUGUUCUGACAUAUUGUCAUAAGGCGUUGCGCUAGAGAAAGCGGACUGGAUGGUUGGCUGUUUUGGCUGCUCAGGCACCGUAGGCUUUUUGCAGCGCUUGGGGUUUGUAACCUUUUGCAUUGCGCAUGCUGUACCGCGUGGCGCUGCUUCAGGUAGUGAAAAAGGUUUGAGGUAUUCCCCGACUUUGCAAGAACAUGUACUCGACAUGAUUUGCAGUGCACAUUACUCUGCUUCAUGUCUGACCUCAAAAAAACAAAAUACCUUCACACCACCGAGGUUGUCAUGUUAGUGUUGUUGACGAUGUCUUCAUCUGUUGAGCCUUCAUCUGCGUUUCUGUCGGGGGUAGCACUCAUUUUCUUUUUUUCUCACCAACAGUGCUGUCGGCCUCACCUGUUAAAGUGCUACGGUUGUGUGUAGCUGCAGCCUGCUACUACAUAGUUGUUUGCUACUUGGUUCUAAUUCAGCACGAUUGGAUCAGCGCGAAGCGGACCCGGAGCAACUUCCCUUUUCAUUGGCUAUUCAUAUAGUCUACCAAAACAUGGCAUAAUGCUAGCUAUCAAAAAGCAUAUUGACCAUGUUUUAUAUUGGUAUUGCGG